CGUCGUGUUCAACUAGUUUCGCAUCCACCUGGACCAACACAUCUUUAGUCGCACUGAUUGGAGCUUUGGACUUCCCUUUUUCUUUUUCUUUUUUUUGUGGCGACUGGGAUAGUUAAUAGUGGAAAACCUGCGUAACCACCUGUCCACACAUCCUUUGAGAAGGUUGCUUUCUGAUUUAUAGGACUGGUGAGGUAAGAUACAGAAGCGUCAUCCACCUCAUCAUCCCAAAGGAAACUAUGUUCAGUAUGCUCAUCGGUUGGGU
rnacentral:lncRNA from 1 species